rnacentral:lncRNA from 1 species
GACGCGCACACUGGCCACUCUGACGAUGCCGAAAGCCCUCCAUGUCUACCCGCUACGCCGCAUUCGCAGACAGGCGGGGGACAUCGCGGCCGCGGCAAGCUAGAGAUGCCGCCUGCUCGAGCAACCUUCCACCUGCAGGGCCGGCCAGUUCUACUCUUCCAGGAUCACUCUCGUCUCACCCUUCUCCCCAAAAUGUCAGAGCAAGAACCAGGAAGGGAGAGGCUCUUUCUGGAAGCCACAGGCAUAACGUUACUGAACAACGAGGACAAAGUAGGGUCCCAUUUAAACUGAGAGUCAGCGAGGGAAAGAACAGAUCCUAUACAUACCAAGCAUCUGCUAUGUGCUAGUCACUUCACACACACACACACCCCACACACACCUCACACACACACCACACACAUCCCACCCACCCACUCACAUACAUACACACCACACACAUACAUACACACCACACACACACAUACACCACACACACACAUCACACAUACUCCCCCACCCCCGCACACACAUACACCACAGACAUACACACGAGCCUGCAAUGAUGGAAGCAAAACAGAACGUUUGGAGAUAUUCACUGCCGUUUACAAGGCCACAGUAAGCAGUAAGCAGAUUUUCUACUCCCCUCUAGCAGAGAACAUGGUAGGAAAAGCUAGACAUUGUAGACAGCAGUAAGAACCUAACAGUCAACAGUGGACAAUGGAUUCUGAAACUGAGAUCCUAUACUGCAUUCACACACGUUAAGGGGCAGGGCGCUGGGAAAACCCCAUCUCAGUCUGGGGUUCAAAGAGUGGAAAAGCUACCCUAGUCCAACUGCUCGGAGGCCAGGUCAGGCCCCUGAAGGUCACUGGAGGAGGAGGCUGGAAAAAGUGCAGAUAUGCACUCCAAAAGGAGAGGUUCCACGGUGGUCAUGACCACAAAAUUCCAAUAUGUUUAAGUCGAUCAAACAAAAGCAGAGUUAAGGCUGGUUCUGAAAGCAGCCAAGAGCAGUUUUCAACACAACACAAAGGGUAACACAAGGCUUUCUUUUCUCACAGUCCGGGCUGACCACAUAUGGCCUGGCUACUGCAAGAAACAUUGAAGGUGUUAGCGCUUUUGACUCUAACUGCGCACCCCUCAGAGAAGAUGUCACAUAGUGAACAUCGCAAGGCACAGAAUGGGAAAUGGAAGCACAGAAUCAAACCCUGAGAUUCGGGGAGAAACCAAAGUGUGGAGAAAUUAUGUAACUUAUCCAAAGUCCAGAGCAGGUUACUGACUGGGAGAACUUGGCUUUCCUUCCAGACUCCAGAUAUGAGACUUUUCUGCGGUCUGACACAGUGGCUUCUUCCACCUCUGCAGUCAACCCCACAAAGGUGGCUCGAGUGUUCCUCUGCCUCCCUGCCCAGCAGCUCCCAGCCUGGAUGGUGAACUCCUUUGCCUGAACAUCCCACGCACCCUGCCAUCUCCUGGGCUAGAACAACAGGUUGUGCAGGACAGAGGGCUUCCCUGCCACACUCCCCUCUAUUACAAAAUGCCAGAGGUCCCAGUUCGAAGCAGCUGUUCCUGGAUGUGGGAAGAGCAAGAGAGAAAUGAUCUAAUGAUGGACAAGGAAUCUUGAAAAGCCAGACCUUCACUGAAUGGCUGACAGGACACACAUUUUGCUUUACUAGAACAAGAACAGAAUCUUUGAAAAGGCAUAAAAGCCAGUGGUCAAGAAGUAACUGACAGCAAAGGCAAAAGAGAUGAAGGCUAAGCUGGAAAGUGGAGAUGAAGCCUGAUGAUAUACUCAGUGGAAGCCCAGAAAGUCUCAGGAAUGAGAACUACCAUUCACCUCUGGAAAUGGGAAACGUAGAGUCCAAAACAAGAAGAUUAAUCGGAAGUGUCAGGAAUAGCUGGGCCCCAUUUCAUCCCGGGUCCUCUCCCCAGCUCCAUCAGCUAGGUGACUUCUUUUCUGGAAGCAGGGACACAGGUCUCUGGACCAGGAUCAGCAGACACAGCCAUGCCUUUAGUCCCAGAAAGAUUUGGUGGAUCACAUGCUAGCUGCCAUAUGAAUCCCACCACCAUCCCCAGCAGCUCCUGGAGCAGCACCUCCAACAGAACUGAAAGAGGCUCCUGCAGAGCUGAGAAGAGACCCAAAAGCAUGAGCCCCACAACAAGCAACCAGGCGUCCAUCCACAGAGGCCACAGUUAAAUGCUCACUCACACAGGGCUCCUGUCAGCUUCUGAGCAAUGUCCUUUUGAAAGUGGGAAGACCCCAGACAGCUAAGCGAAGCCUCUAAGGUGAAAGAUGUGGCCAAAUUGCAUGGGACAAACACUUCCUAUGCCUCACCUCCCUGGGCCCUGUCCACAGCUCUAUUGAGCCGCAUCUGAUGGGACCCCUAUGUCCUGCAGCACAGCCUCCUCCUACCAGGGCUCUGAAGAGCCUGUACACCCAGCACCUGCAGGGAUGUAGCCCAGAUGCAACCCUGGCCCAUGGUGACGGGCACUGACAGGAGAUACAUCCUCCACCCCAACCCCUUCCCAGCACUGUCUGGAGGACUGGGAGCUCGUGACACAAGCCAGCCCCACAUGUGGAACCAUUGGCUUCACUCAAUUCUAGGCACUGCCCACCGCGGGCACCCCGCCUCACCCUGCACCCAGGUUCCCUCCUUCCAGCCUCCCUCCACCAGGCUGGCACACCCUCCUACAAUAGAAGCACAGAAGGCUUUGCCAUAGGCUCUGCUUUCCGGGUAAGCUGGACACAAACAAACAGAAAAAUUAAAAGUAAAUCAUUUACAAAUGGGAGAGAAGAAACGAUACACAAAAAGUUUUUAAAAAUUAAUAUCUACAAAUGAGAUAGACGUAUCUAUGAAAUAAGAAUAUUAUGCCAUUAAAAAAAGAAUACUCAC